UUGUGUGACAAUUAGCCCAGGUAUUUGUCCUUUAAUGAUGGACGUCCUGAAAGACAAUGUUAAAAAACUAAAACCAAGUGAACGAUACUGUACGGUUUUGUUCGAUGAAGUGUGUCUAUCGAGUGGUUUAUCAUACAAUUCUGUUACGGACGAAGUAGACGGUUUUGUUCAUACUGGAAAAUCCAAGAACCAAAAUGUUGCAGAUCAUGCUCUUGUUUUCAUGAUUCGUGGUAUACGGAAAAAAUACAAACAACCCAUUGCCUAUUCAUUUUGUCAGGGUGCAACAAAACAAGACGAAUUGGUUCGUCAGCUGAAAGAAGUUAUUCGUAAUGUUCAUGACACCGGGUUGCGGGUUUUAGCCACCAUUAGUGACCAAGGUACGGCAAAUGUAGCUGCCAUCAAUAUACUAAAACGUGACACAAGAGCAUAUCAACUUAAAAACAACAUGGCAUGUACCGAUGAAUUUUAUGAAGUUGAAGUUAAUAAUCUUCAUAGAUUAAAACUUGUACAUAUUUUUGAUGUGCCACAUUUAAUAAAGUGUAUUAGAAACAAUCUAAUCACUAAAGAUUUAAUUUUUUGUGUUGAUGGAGUACAAAAACGAGCGAAAUGGUCACAUAUACUGGAGUUAUAUAAUGAAGACUGCAAGAUACCGGACUGAAAAAUGUUGCCUAGGCUCUCAGACAAUCAUGUUAUUCCAGAGAAAAUAUUCAAGAUGAAAGUGAAGUGCGCAGCACAAGUCUUCUCCCAGAGAGUUUCAUCUACAAUGAAUUUUUUAUCAUCUCGAAAUAUUAUUAGCCCAGAUGCUGUAGAUACUGCUUUUCUCUGUCAGUUUUUUGAUAAUCUCUUCGAUUCUUUGAACGGCAGCUUUGACAAGAUUGUAGAUGGCAAAAAAUAUC
rnacentral:misc_RNA from 1 species